rnacentral:pre_miRNA from 1 species
AUGAGCCGUCGGAUCUCCUAGUAAGGAGGCCGGGCCGUCAGAUCCGGUGACCCCGGUCUCCUCACCGGCGGAUCCGGUGCCAAGA